rnacentral:rRNA from 1 species
UACAGAGGAGCCAAGCGUUGUCCGGAUUGACUGGGCGUAAAGCGCACGCAGGCGGUCGCGCGCGUGGGGUGUGAAAUCUGGCCGCUUAACGGCCAGGCGCCAUCCCAUACGGCACGACUGGAGUGAUGCAGAGGUCGAUGGAAUUGCCGGUGUAGUGGUGAAAUGCGUAGAGAUCGGCAGGAACACCCAGGGGGGAAACCAGUCGACUGGGCAUCUACUGACGCUGAGGUGCGAGAGCGUGGGGGAGCGAACCGGG